UACGGGGGGGGUAAGCGUUGUUCGGAAUUACUGGGCGUAAAGGGUUCGUAGGUGGCUUGCUAAGUCAGACGUGAAAUCCCUCAGCUUAACUGGGGAACUGCGUCUGAUACUGGCGAGCUUGAGUGCAGGAGAGGAACGCAGAAUUCCAGGUGUAGCGGUGAAAUGCGUAGAUAUCUGGAGGAAUACCGGUGGCGAAGGCGGCGUUCUGGACUGCAACUGACACUGAUGAACGAAAGCCAGGGGAGCAAACGGG
rnacentral:rRNA from 1 species